rnacentral:rRNA from 1 species
CCUACGGGAGGCAGCAGUGGGGGAUAUUGCACAAUGGGGGGAACCCUGAUGCAGCGACGCCGCGUGGGUGAAGGAGUGCUUCGGCAUGUAAAGCCCUAUCGGCAGGGAAGAAGCAAGACGGUACCUGACUAAGAAGCCUCGGCAAACUACGUGCCAGCAGCCGCGGUAAUACGUAGGGGGCGAGCGUUAUCCGGAUUCACUGGGUGUAAAGGGAGCGUAGGCGGCCAUGCAAGCCAGGGGUGAAAGCCCGGGGCCCAACCCCGGGACUGCCCUUGGAACUGUGCGGCUAGAGUGCGGGAGGGGCAGGCGGAAUUCCUGGUGUAGCGGUGAAAUGCGUAGAUAUCAGGAGGAACACCGGCGGCGAAGGCAGCCUGCUGGACUGCGACUGACGUUGAGGCUCGAAAGCGUGGGGAGCGAACAGGAUUAGAUACCCCGGUAGUC